rnacentral:lncRNA from 1 species
GUGUGGGAAGUGGUGGGAGGGUGAGUCAGAUCAGCCCACAGAAGCUAUUUAAAUUUCAGGUUUCAAGCCCACCUCCCCAAAACCGUUUUAUGUGUUUUUUCUUCUGCCCAGGCACCAUAUUUUUAUAUCUAUUUUUGACAUUUGGGCGGCCUAUGUAGUUCACAGUGUAAAACUCUCUGUUUUACUUUCUUUAUGUUAUUGCUAGUGAUUAUUGCUUGUAGUCCCACCCCCUUCCCCACAUUAGCCUUAGUAUUCUAUAUUAUUCAGCAAGCUUGUUCACAACUCUCAAAUAUAGUCUAUCAGAAUUUUUAUCUUUACCUCUACAUUCCACUAUUCGGAAGUAUAUAGUAAAAUCGUAUGAAGACAGAUUUUGUCUUUUUCUUGCCUGUUUACACUCUAUCUUACAGAGGUUUCAAACAAACCAUCUUUGUUUGAAACAUCGCAGGAUAAUGAUACUUAUUGAAAUCUACAUCCUGCCCAAGAUAUAUGCCAGUCAAUUUCCUUUCUCCUAUUAGUGCAAAUGGCUACCUACUUAAAAGCUGCUGACUAUAGUUUGUCAUCAAUUACUUGUUAAUUACAGAUAUGGUUUUCAUUUUUUUUUCUCAAUUUUUCAUUAUGUUAUUUUUGGAGACUGUCUUAGGUGGGGAGUGAAUUAUAAAUAUUUUUAUUUCACCACCUUUAACUGAGUCACCAUAUGUUAUUUGCACUUCCAAUAGACCAGGGAUUGACCAGAGUAUCUUUUACUGAUAUGACCACCAGAGCUACAUGGCUUUUACCUUCUGUAUAUCAGAUGUCACUGGAAUCAAGCAUUAAACCUAGAUUAAAUCUGGAUUAAACCAGCUGUAUGGCACCUUAGAAAAUUGAGAAGGACUAGGAAGCUGAUAGAAAGAACUCCUGUAUAAAAAAUAAAUUCUUUUUACAUUUUCCUUGGUAGUAUUUCUGCAAGCUUCUUUAGUUUCUAUAGGGGAAUCCCAGAGUUUUCCUCUGAGAUUGCUUCCCUUUCCUUUGUAUUUUCAUUUUUCCCUCUUGGGCUUUACUUUUCAGUCGUGUAUUUCUAUCCCAAUGUUAAUUUAUUACACUGUUUAUAUUUUCCUGUCCUUCAAUUCAUCAGUAGAUUAGUGAAGUACUUAUUCCUUUAAUUAUAAGUAUAAACGUUUUUAAUUUCUUUUUGGAUAACGAUACAUUUAAUGGAAAAUUUUUAAAUGCUAUGGUUUCUUAAUAGCUUUUCUCUACCACUAAUUACUUCCGUUAAAAAAAAAAAGAAAUACCCAUGCGUAAUAUAAAAGAAAUUUUGAAUAAAAUGUUAUCCUUUCCUUUUACUAGAGACAAACAUCUCCACUUCAAAAUGGAAAAAUGGAACUAUGCAAAGGAAAUUUACGAUAUUCAAGAGUAUGAUAUUAUCACUGAACCGAUUAAUUUAAUUGAAAAUACUAACCUGCAAAAAAGAAUUACACAAAUGUAUUUGAAAUGUCAUCAGAUACCUCAAGCUAUGACAGAGUUGAUUAUGUUACACAAGUAGUAAAGGAUAAAUUAAAUAUAUUCUAUAUUAACACUAAGAUUUAAAACUAAUUAUAGUCUUCUUUAAUUUUUCUACUGUAUACAUUUCAUCUAGUUUUCAGUAAAACAAACUUUUCAUUACUUUUACUUAUCCCAUGCAAAUCUAGUUGCUAUAAGAUAUAACCUAAUUUGGAAAUACCUCCCUGUAAUACAUUGGAAUUUUGGUGUGAGUGUGUGUGAUCAGAGAGGAUAAACAAAUGGUGUCAGCAAAAUAGAAUGUAAAAUAUGGAGAUAAUGUGGAUUUACACAAUUUGAUAAAAAUUCUCCCUUGAAUUUUGCAGAUCAUAUAUGAAUAUCAUCAUGUGAAGUGCAAUUAGGAUUUUUUCAUAUAUUAAUACAUAUACAUCAUCUCUUUAAUAAAAUAUUUUGCUGAACUCGUUUAAUAUUUCUCAUGUCUCAUAUUUCAUAUUUUCUCAUAUGUCUCAUAUUUUAUAUUUUCUCAUAUGUGUCUCAUUUUUAUUAUUACUAUAGUAUCCAUUAAAGGAGACUGGCAAAUACCUGAACAAAGUUAUGUUGUUGGCAAUAUAAGAUAUUACCAAUUGCAUAAUAUUAUUUCCAAAGGCAAAUUAAUAUGCAAACUAUAGAUUUCCAUGGGUAUCUAUACAAAUUAUUACUUGAAGUCCAUAGAAAACAGCUUCCUUAGAGGGAAGUAAAAGAAGCUCUGAUAACAGACAAUGUAUAGCAUUUCAGUUAAAGUUUGAUUGACAUAUUUUUUUCUCAGUCUUUUAUACUUGUGAAUUAUAGUCUACAUUUUGUCUUUACAGAUGUUGCUAACACAGUGCAGCAUGUUGGCUUGUCAUUUUACUGAUUAUGUAUAUUGUCUCCUAGUUCAAGUAUACAGUAAAUCAGAGCUUUCAUUUUUCAAGGGGCAGAAAAAUAAUUGUUGGUUGAUAAGGUAAGGUUAUAUGAUUUUGAGGGAGCUUCAUUGUAAAUUGAAUGAGAAUCCGGUUUUCAUGCAAAGGUGUAUCUAUGCGAUAAUACUUUGAAUGUCUGUAGUUUGAAAUAGAAGGUUAAUUUUUUCCACUGGCUUAUCCUUAAUGAAGGAAAUCCCCUGAUAAUUACUUUGAUUCUGAAAAUGUUGAAAACUCCAGAAGAAAUAAAGCUUUUCUUUGAUUUCUCAGCU